AUUCUAGAGCUAAUACAUGCUUUAAAGCCCGACUUCUCGGAAGGGCCGUAUUUAUUAGAUAACAGACCAAUAUUCCUCGUGUCUAUUGUGGUGAGUCAUAGUAACUUUUCGGAUCGCAUGGGCUUUGUCCCGCGACAAACCAUUCAAGUUUCUGCCCCAUCAGCUUUCGAUGGUAGUGUAUUGGACUACCAUGGCUUUCACGGGUAACGGAGGAUUAGGGUUCGAUUCCGGAGAGGGAGCCUGAGAAACGGCUACCACUUCUAAGGAAGGCAGCAGGCGCGUAAAUUACCCAAUUCUAAUUCAGAGAGGUAGUG
rnacentral:rRNA from 1 species